AAUGGUAUGGUUUGUUUCUGAUAUUUCUAGAUAGCGGAAGCAAGCUACGUGUGACUCUGCAUUUUAAUAAAGUCAUAAUGAAUGAUGAUUCAAGAAAUGGUGGUUAUGAAUGCCAAGGACACACAGGAGGUAGUCAACAUGAAUAUGGAUUCACUGUCACUGUUAUUGAGAAAAGUGAGUUUCCUGAAGUUCUCGCCUCUGGUAAUGUAACAGCAAAGUUUGGGGAGCGAAUUCAACUCAGCUGUAAUGUCACGGUUACUAACCAAGAAGCGUUAAUGACAACCAUCGGCAAGUUUACCUGGGCAAAAGACGGAAGGGUUGUAAUCGCAAGUUAUUGUCCCCAUUUCUCAUCAAUUAAACCUUUGGUUUUGAACGUAAGCCUAGCUGAUGUKGGUGGUACAUAUUCUUGUUAGUUGGAGUACCUUCUGAGAGGAAUUAGAAAGAGAAACAUCACGAAAACUAUUAUCGUAAAAGUUCAGCCUAGAUUUUUCCCUGAAAAGAAAGAAGAAAAGAAUAUGAAGCGGCUUGUGUGCACUGCUCAGGGAAACCCACUGGUGACCGAAUGGAAAA